rnacentral:misc_RNA from 1 species
AAGACUAUAGACCUGCGGAGUACCUGCGGAAGGAUCAUUAUUGAUUUUUAACAGGAUGUGCUGGCUCUCAAGGGGGCAAUGUGCACUCCUAAUAAAACCAAUAUCCACCUGUGCACCUUAAGUAGACUAGUAGGACUCAUCACAGUCUUUCCAGUCUAUGUUCCUUCACAAACCUUUUGAAAUGUAAAUGAAUGAUCAUCUGUAUAAUUAAUAACAACUUUCAACAAUGGAUCUCUAGAU